GUAAGCUACUAAGAGCAAAUGGUGGAUGCCUUGGCUAGUAGAGGCGAUGAAAGACGUGCCAGGCUGCGAUAAGUCUCGGGGAGCCGUCAAGGGGCUUUGAUCCGGGAAUUUCUGAAUGGGGCAACCCAGUAUAUAGUGAUAUAUACUACCGCAAUGCGGAGCGAACGUUGGGAAUUGAAACAUCUUAGUACCAACAGGAAAAGAAAUCAAACGAGAUUACGCUAGUAGCGGCGAGCGAAAGCGUAAGAGGGCAAACCACUAGCUUGCUAGUGGGGUUGUAGGACUGCAAUAUAGACUUAAACAAUCUAAUAGAAUAAGUUGGAAAGCUUAAGCAUAGAGGGUGAUACUCCCGUAUAUGAAAGUGCGUUUAUACUUAGCAGUAUCCUGAGUAGGGCGGGACACGUGUAAUCCUGUCUGAAGCUGGGUAGACCACUAUCCAACCCUAAAUACUACUACUAGACCGAUAGUGCACAAGUACCGUGAGGGAAAGGUGAAAAGAACUGAGGUGAUCAGAGUGAAAUAGAACCUGAAACCAUUUGCUUACAAUCAUUCAGAGCCCUAUGAUUUAUCAGGGUGAUGGACUGCCUUUUGCAUAAUGAGCCUGCGAGUUGUGGUGUCUGGCGAGGUUAAGGAAACCCGGAGCCGUAGCGAAAGCGAGUCUUAAUAGGGCGUAUAGUCAGAUGCUGCAGACCCGAAACGAUGUGAUCUAUCCAUGAGCAGGUUGAAACUGGUGUAAGAGCCAGUGGAGGACCGAACAGACGGCCGUUGAAAAGGCUCCUGAUGACUUGUGGAUAGGGGUGAAAGGCCAAUCAAACAUCGUGAUAGCUGGUUCUCUCCGAAAUAUAUUUAGGUAUAGCGUUGUGUAGUAACUUUGUGAGGUAGAGCACUGAAUGGGCUAGGGCAUACACCAAUGUACCAAACCCUAUCAAACUCCGAAUGCGCAAAGUGUAAUCACAGCAGUCAGGCGGCGAGUGAUAAAAUCCGUCGUCGAGAGGGGAACAACCCAGACUAACAGCUAAGGUCCCUAAAUCUCAUUUAAGUGGAAAACGAUGUGGAGUUACUGAAACAACCAGGAGGUUGGCUUAGAAGCAGCCAUCCUUUAAAGAAAGCGUAAUAGCUCACUGGUCUAGUGAUUCUGCGCGGAAAAUAUAACGGGGCUAAAAUGAGUACCGAAGCUUUAGACUUAGUUUUUAACUAAGUGGUAGGAGAGCGUUCUAUUCAGCGUUGAAGGUAUACCGGUAAGGAGUGCUGGAGCGGAUAGAAGUGAGCAUGCAGGCAUGAGUAGCGAUAAAAGGGGUGAGAAUCCCCUUCGCCGUAAACCCAAGGUUUCCUACGCGAUGCUCGUCAUCGUAGGGUUAGUCGGGUCCUAAGCAAAGUCCGAAAGGGGUAUGCGAUGGAAAAUUGGUUAAUAUUCCAAUACCAAUUAUUAUGUGCGAUGGAAGGACGCUUAAAGUUAGUGGAGCUAGCGGAUGGAAGUGCUAGUCUAAGGGCGUAGGUUGAGUUAUAGGCAAAUCCGUAACUCUCUAUCCGAGACCUCAAAGGCUCUUGACGCUCUUCGGAGUAGAUGGAGAAUCCAUGAUACUAUCGAGCCAAGAAAAGUUUCUAAGUUUAGUAAUAAUUGCCCGUACCGUAAACCGACACAGGUGGGUGGGAUGAGUAUUCUAAGGCGCGUGGAAGAACUCUCUUUAAGGAACUCUGCAAAAUAGCACCGUAUCUUCGGUAUAAGGUGUGCCUAACUUUGUAUUAAGAUUUACUCCCAAAGCAAAGAAGGUUACAACAAAGAGUCCCUCCCGACUGUUUACCAUAAACACAGCACUCUGCUAACUCGUAAGAGGAUGUAUAGGGUGUGACGCCUGCCCGGUGCUCGAAGGUUAAUUGAUGGGGUUAGCAUUAGCGAAGCUCUUGAUCGAAGCCCGAGUAAACGGCGGCCGUAACUAUAACGGUCCUAAGGUAGCGAAAUUCCUUGUCGGUUAAAUACCGACCUGCAUGAAUGGCGUAACGAGAUGGGAGCUGUCUCAAAGAGGGAUCCAGUGAAAUUGUAGUGGAGGUGAAAAUUCCUCCUACCCGCGGCAAGACGGAAAGACCCCGUGGACCUUUACUACAGCUUGACACUGCUAUUUGGAUAAAGAUGCGCAGGAUAGGUGGGAGGCUUUGAUCCAUAGACUCUGGUUUAUGGUGAGCCAUUGUUGAGAUACCACUCUUCUUUAUUUGGGUAGCUAACUAGCCUAAGUUAUCCUUAGGUAGGACAAUGUCUGGUGGGUAGUUUGACUGGGGCGGUCGCCUCCCAAAGUGUAACGGAGGCUUACAAAGGUUGGCUCAGAACGGUUGGAAAUCGUUCGUAGAGUAUAAAGGCAUAAGCCAGCUUAACUGCGAGACGUACAUGUCAAGCAGAGACGAAAGUCGGUCUUAGUGAUCCGGUGGUUCUGUGUGGAAGGGCCAUCGCUCAAAGGAUAAAAGGUACCCCGGGGAUAACAGGCUGAUCUCCCCCAAGAGCUCACAUCGACGGGGAGGUUUGGCACCUCGAUGUCGGCUCAUCGCAUCCUGGGGCUGGAGCAGGUCCCAAGGGUAUGGCUGUUCGCCAUUUAAAGCGGUACGCGAGCUGGGUUCAGAACGUCGUGAGACAGUUCGGUCCCUAUCUGCCGUGGGCGUAAGAAGAUUGAGGAGAGUUGACCCUAGUACGAGAGGACCGGGUUGAACCAGCCACUGGUGUAUCAGUUGUUCUGCCAAGAGCAUCGCUGAGUAGCUAAGCUGGGAUGUGAUAAGAGCUGAAAGCAUCUAAGCUCGAAGCCAACUCCAAGAUGAAUCUUCUUUUAAGAGCUCUAGUAGACUACUAGUUUGAUAGGCUGGGUGUGUAAUGGAUGAGAGUCCUUUAGCUGACCAGUACUAAUAGCUCGUUUGCUUAUCUUA
rnacentral:rRNA from 1 species